rnacentral:rRNA from 1 species
GACGAACGCUGGCGGCGUGCCUAAUACAUGCAAGUCGAACGCAGUGGGGACGGGUGAGUAACACGUGGGUAACCUCCCAUCAGAGGGGAUAACACUUGGUAACAGGUGCUAAACCGAUACUGAUGGAUGGACCCGCGGUUCAUUAGCUAGUUGGUGAGGUAACGGCGCACCAAGGCCACGAUGCAUAGCCGAGAUAGGAGGGUGAUGGGGAACACGUGGACUGAGGCACGGCCCAGACUGCUACGAGAGGCAGAAGAAGGGAAUGUGCGGCAAUGGACGAAAGUCUGACCGAGCAACGCCGCGGUAGUGAAGAGGGUGUUCGGAUCGUAAAGCUCUGUUGUUUGAGAAGCGGUAUGUAGCCAAGAAGCGACGGCUAACUACGUGCCAGCAGCCGCGGUAAUUC